rnacentral:rRNA from 1 species
UACGUAGGGUGCGAGCGUUAAUCGGAAUUACUGGGCGUAAAGCGUGCGUAGGCGGUUCGUUAUGUCUGCUGUGAAAGCCCCGGGCUUAACCUGGGAAUGGCAGUGGAAACUGGCGGGCUUGAGUGUGGCAGAGGGGGGUGGAAUUCCGCGUGUAGCAGUGAAAUGCGUAGAUAUGCGGAGGAACACCGAUGGCGAAGGCAAUCCCCUGGACCUGUACUGACGCUCAUGCACGAAAGCGUGGGGAGCAAACAGG